UACGUAGGGUGCGAGCGUUGUCCGGAAUUAUUGGGCGUAAAGAGCGUGUAGGCGGCCCGGUAAGUCCGCUGUGAAAGUCCAGGGCUCAACCCUGGGAUGCCGGUGGAUACUGUCGGGCUCGAGUCCGGAAGAGGAGUGUGGAAUUCCUGGUGUAGCGGUGAAAUGCGCAGAUAUCAGGAGGAACACCAAUGGCGAAGGCAGCACUCUGGGACGUGACUGACGCUGAGACGCGAAAGCGUGGGGAGCAAACAGG
rnacentral:rRNA from 1 species